rnacentral:rRNA from 1 species
GAUGAACGCUAGCUACAGGCUUAACACAUGCAAGUCGCGGGGCAGCAUUUCUUUAGCUUGCUAAGGAAGAUGGCGACCGGCGCACGGGUGAGUAACGCGUAUCCAACCUGCCCUUGUCCACGGGAUAACCCGGUGAAACCGGCCUAAUACCGUAUGAGGUCACAAGCGGACAUCCAACUGUGACGAAAGGUUUGGCGGACAAGGAUGGGGAUGCGUCCGAUUAGGUAGUCGGCGGGGUAACGGCCCACCGAGCCGACGAUCGGUAGGGGUUCUGAGAGGAAGGUCCCCCACAUUGGAACUGAGACACGGUCCAAACUCCUACGGGAGGCAGCAGUGAGGAAUAUUGGUCAAUGGGCGGAAGCCUGAACCAGCCAAGUAGCGUGCAGGAAGACGGCCCUAUGGGUUGUAAACUGCUUUCAGUCGGGGAAUAAACUCGUCGGUCGUGACCGACGUUGCAGGUACCGUCAUAAGAAGGACCGGCUAAUUCCGUG